AGGAUUUUAAGUUAACAAAACUAUUGGCCUUCAAAGUCAAAAAUAAUAUAAUUAAAUCUUA
rnacentral:tRNA from 1 species